UACGUAGGGCGCAAGCGUUGUCCGGAAUUAUUGGGCGUAAAGAGCUCGUAGGCGGUCCGUCGCGUCUGCCGUGAAAACCCGAGGCUUAACCUCGGGCCUGCGGUGGAUACGGGCGGACUAGAGGUAGGUAGGGGAGAAUGGAAUUCCCGGUGUAGCGGUGAAAUGCGCAGAUAUCGGGAGGAACACCGGUGGCGAAGGCGGUUCUCUGGGCCUUACCUGACGCUGAGGAGCGAAAGCGUGGGGAGCGAACAGG
rnacentral:rRNA from 1 species